UGCAAGUCGACGGCAGCACAGAGGAGCUUGCUCCUUGGGUGGCGAGUGGCGGACGGGUGAGUAAUGCAUCGGGACCUACCCAGACGUGGGGGAUAACGUAGGGAAACUUACGCUAAUACCGCAUACGUCCUACGGGAGAAAGCGGGGGAUCUUCGGACCUCGCGCGGUUGGACGGACCGAUGUGCGAUUAGCUAGUUGGUAGGGUAAUGGCCUACCAAGGCGACGAUCGCUAGCUGGUCUGAGAGGAUGAUCAGCCACACUGGGACUGAGACACGGCCCAGACUCCUACGGGAGGCAGCAGUGGGGAAUAUUGGACAAUGGGCGCAAGCCUGAUCCAGCAAUGCCGCGUGUGUGAAGAAGGCCUUCGGGUUGUAAAGCACUUUUAUCAGGAGCGAAAUACCACGGGUUAAUACCCUAUGGGGCUGACGGUACCUGAGGAAUAAGCACCGGCUAACUUCGUGCCAGCAGCCGCGGUAAUACGAAGGGUGCAAGCGUUAAUCGGAAUUACUGGGCGUAAAGGGUGCGUANGCGGUUAUUUAAGUCUGCCGUGAAAUCCCCGGGCUCAACCUGGGAAUGGCGGUGGAUACUGGAUAGCUAGAGUGUGUCAGAGGAUGGUGGAAUUCCCGGUGUAGCGGUGAAAUGCGUAGAGAUCGGGAGGAACAUCAGUGGCGAANGCGGCCAUCUGGGACAACACUGACGCUGAAGCACGAAAGCGUGGGGAGCAAACAGGAUUAAAUACCCUGGUAGUCCACGCCCUAAACGAUGCGAACUGNAUGUUGGUCUCACUCGGAAAUCAGUGUC
rnacentral:rRNA from 1 species